AAAAAUCUACAAAAAACAUGGCCGCGGUGUGCAAAUAAUGAGUUGCUUAUUUCAAAACUGUCCUAUUAUUCUUCAGUAAAACUUCUUGUUAAUUUAAGACUCUAAUAACUUGCUUGACAUACCCAUAGGCAAAUAUCUGUUUAUCGGUGUAAUUACACCUUUGAAGAAAAGCGUGAUUCGCACGUUUUAAUUUCAUCAUUCGCCGCCUGAAGAGACAAGAUGGCGGAGCUUGCGAAAUCGAAAAUUGGUACUUCAAAGUCAAUGGUUGAUCAUGAUGACCAUCUUUUAUUUAAUGGAGAAAGAAACCAAUAUUUGCAGCUGGACAGGCUGUCACCACAGUUCAAUGAUUUAGUUAAGACAAUGAAAUAGAAGAACUCAACACUUGCACCAGUGGAAGUACUUCUUAUUGGAUAGAGAACUUUUCAAGGUCAGACAUGAGCUUUUGAAGUUGCAGUUGCUUUCUUGGCGCAUCAUGCUGUCCAGUGGAGUUCAUACCAUAUGCCAGGCCUUUAUACAUGGUCAAAGAAGAUGAAUUUGUUAUUCAAUUUGUGAAAUUUGAUUUAGCGAGGACUUUCAUAUAUGAUGAUUAUAUUCAGCAGAUUAUCUUCAAGUGUGCACUUUAUAGAAUCACAGUUUCUAGGAGGUUUUCAGUUUAAAGUUAGAUUAAUUGAAAAAUAAGGGGAGCUAUCAUACUCACCAUGGUAUCA